GGCUCCUUGCCAACAAAAAAUAAGGAGUCGGACCUGCCCAGUGAAAAUUUUUAACGGCCGCGGUACUCUGACCGUGCAAAGGUAGCAUAAUCAUUUGCCUUAUAAUUGAAGGCUAGUAUGAAUGGUUUGACAAGAAUAUCACUGUCUCUUUUUGGUUUAAUAGAACUUUAUCUUAAAGUGAAGAAGCUUUAAUUAAAUUAAUAGACAAGAAGACCCUGUCGAGCUUUAAACAAUUUAAUAGAAUAAAUCAAAUAAGAUUAAAAAAAACAACUAUUAAGAACUUUAGUUGGGGCGACUGAGGAACAAAAAAAGCUUCCUUUAUAUAACAUAAAUUUAUAAGUCUUGAUCCAAAAUUAUUGAUUAAAAAAAUUAGUUACCGCAGGGAUAACAGCAUUAUCUUUUUCAAGAGCCCUUAUCGAAAAAAAGGUUUGUGACCUCGAUGUUGGAUCAGAAUGUCCCAAAGAUGCAGAAGUCUUUAAAGGUUGGUCUGUUCGACCAUUAAAAUUCU
rnacentral:rRNA from 1 species